rnacentral:rRNA from 1 species
CGGCAAAGCUCAAAUUUGAAAUCCCCCCGGGGAGUUGUAAUUUGAAGAUUGCGUCUUGGAGGCGACCGUGUCUAUGUUCCUUGGAACAGGACGUCACAGAGGGUGAGAAUCCCGUGCGGCACGGCCCCCGGCUCCUUAUAAGGCGCUCUCGACGAGUCGAGUUGUUUGGGAAUGCAGCUCAAAGUGGGUGGUAAAUUCCAUCUAAAGCUAAAUACAGGCGAGAGACCGAUAGCGAACAAGUACAGUGAUGGAAAGAUGAAAAGCACUUUGAAAAGAGAGUGAAACAGCACGUGAAAUUGUUGAAAGGGAAGGGCAUGCCGUCAGAUUGUCAGUGUGGGUAAGAAGCGGGGUACAAAGACUGUGGAACGUGGCCCUCGGGUGUUAUAGCCGCAGUUCAUGCCCCGUCUCUUUCCGAGGCCUGCUUUGAGGACACCGACGUAAUGACGGUACGCCGC